rnacentral:rRNA from 1 species
AUUGAACGCUGGCGGCAUGCCUUACACAUGCAAGUCGAACGGUAACAGGUCUUCGGAUGCUGACGAGUGGCGAACGGGUGAGUAAUACAUCGGAACGUGCCCGAUCGUGGGGGAUAACGGAGCGAAAGCUUUGCUAAUACCGCAUAAGAUCUAAGGAUGAAAGCAGGGGACCGCAAGGCCUUGCGCGAACGGAGCGGCCGAUGGCAGAUUAGGUAGUUGGUGGGAUUAAAGCUUACCAAGCCGACGAUCUGUAGCUGGUCUGAGAGGACGACCAGCCACACUGGGACUGAGACACGGCCCAGACUCCUACGGGAGGCAGCAGUGGGGAAUUUUGGACAAUGGGCGCAAGCCUGAUCCAGCCAUGCCGCGUGCAGGAUGAAGGCCUUCGGGUUGUAAACUGCUUUUGUACGGAACGAAAAGACUCUUUCUAAUAAAGAGAGUCCAUGACGGUACCGUAAGAAUAAGCACCGGCUAACUACGUGCCAGCCGCCGCGGUAACAC